rnacentral:lncRNA from 1 species
UUAACCUUUAUGCUGCGAUAAAUAUGCUUUUCGUGUCGCAUUUAGCUUUCACUAUGUGUAAACAGAUUUCAUUUCAUGUUUCAAAUGAACUUGCGUGACUGUUCGAAUUCUCUUUGUUGAAUUUAACUACAAAUUAUAUUUGAAUAUAAGAUUAGUCAGCGUUGUUGUCUGUGAUUAUGCAAAUUCCAAAUUUGAUUUUGAAAGACUCUUUUCUUCAACAUGGCUGGUUGAAUAAACGAUCGCACGCUUCUUAACGUUUACUCGCCUUAAAAGGAUGCUUUCGUUGCAUGCUAGAUCGGAGUUUGAACGGUCGCAACCCAAAGGGACUGUAACGUGACAUUCCAAAGAAAGGUUGCGAAGAAGAAAAGCCCACGUUUUCUCUGUUGUAAAAGCAAACAGCCACAUUUCACCACGAUAUAUUCUCUAUCUACAGCUGAAAUAUCAGUUGCCGAAGUUAUAUUCUUGGACACAAAAAUUUUCGAAAGCGAGAGGUUUCACAGGGAAUCGACGGACCCAUUGCAAACGCUUUGCUAGACAGAGCGAAGACCUCGAAUUUUCGGUGUCUAGUGCUUUAGCACGUACACACGGCUAUGGAAGAGCGCAAAAAGUGCUUCAUAUACCGCAAAUUAUGACGUUAUACAGGUGUAGUUCGUUUCCUUUGUCGUCGUUGAUCAAGGUUUUAGUGGUGCGUGCCAUUGACGUUGCGGGAUCAAUAUAAUGAAGUGACACCCAGGGAAGUAGACCACACCGCACGCCAUGCGUUUGUUUGAAGUAGACCAAUUAGCCCUGCAGUUGAACCGCACUGAAGAUGUAGUUGGACAUUGUUACAACUGGAAAAUCGAAAAUCACACGAUCUAGAUUUUUAAUGGCAGAAUACAAGGUCAGCAUGGUAGCGAAAGAAAAAUCCUAGUGGCAAAACUGGCAGAGACACGGCCAUAAUAAUAAUAAUGAUCAUUAUUUUCUCCUACACAGUCUGUGAAUGAAAAUCGAAAAUCACUCGAUCUAAUUUUGGAACUCCAGAAGACAAGGUCAACAUGACGACUUCAACACGGAUGAAGUGUGUAAUUCUGCGAGCCCCACUCAAGUGGGGUUCAUGUAAGCGAAGCUAAAAUCAUAUUGGCUGAGCCGGCCGAGACACGUUUGACCCUUCCAUAACAAUGAUAAUGAUCAUUAUUAUCCCUAUGCAGUUUGUAAAUGAAAAUAAUCGAGUUCGUAUCAUUGUAAAGUUAUAAUUUUGGUCUCCGCGCUGUUUUAAGUUCAGUCCUAGUUCAUGCUAAGUAUACUUCUUCAUGCGUCAGGUCGUAAAAGAGUAUAGAAGCUUAUUACCUCGACUUUUCGUGUUCUCUAAUCAUCAAAUGCUGACAGCCUUAUGUUGUCUCGCCUCAGGGUACUGGAUAUGUAAACAGUCAUAAUGAGGAGAAGUGGUCCAUGCCACUUUCAAGUGUGGCUUAUUUUAUCACUCUCUUUUCGAAAUGUAAUGCAGUAAUGUGUUUUAACUUUUAUCUUUGUGAAGACUUGCAGAAGAUAUAUUUCAGUUUCAAUAAUUUUUCAAAUUUUACAGCUCUCUGUGAAUGAGAGGCUGUGAAAUGUCGAUGUUAAAAUGCAUUUUAAUUUGCUGUCUGCUAUGCCUGAGCAAAUGCUGUGCGCAGCAAAUUGUUUAGUAGUAGUAAAUAGACCUGUCCUGUCGGCGACUUGUCUUUCAAAUUUGUUUUUUGAAGAAGUUAUCGCUUACGUCUUUAAUUCGUCUCAUAAAAUUUCCGCAAGUCGUAAUUAAAAGCAAGAAAUGUAAUAGCGGACUUAUUUUAUUGAAGGCGAGGAGUGGAGACUCACAAUAUUUAAAUUUAUUUCCUCCUGCGACGCUUAAGCUAUCGAACCCUUGUAUGAGGCAAUAAAAUAUUUUAGAGCAUUUUAUUUCAUUUUAGCACCUUAAAUCCAUUGCUUGCGACUAGAUGUGGCUCGGUUAACCAAUAAUCAAUCGAUGAUUCAGGCGGUCGAGCAAAUUUCCAUUCAUACCGACAUACCAGAAGUUUAAAACCACAGACAAUAAAUUUCCGUCUUUCAACAUACUUUGUACUUUAAACGACGUGUCGAGAAGAGAUGGUUUUUACUCUUAGUAAACUAUUUUCAAGGUUGUUAAGCGAGAAAACAACCUCCUGGUUUUUUUAGUCAACUUUCAACCUCUAAUUCUGUGUAACGAUGAAUUCUCUCGAUAAAAUUAAUGAUCAAAGCAACAAGCAAUUUUGACAAGGAUUGCAGAAAAUAACAUGCCCAAACUUGCCCGGUACGAGUAAUAGUACGUGUCCACGGUAAAACUCAGCUAUAACAAAAAACUAUUAAAAGAAAUGAGUUUGUUUGAUCUUAGACGUUACAAAACGAGGCAAUG